rnacentral:rRNA from 1 species
GAGUUUGAUCCUGGCUCAGAGUGAACGCUGGCGGUAGGCCUAACACAUGCAAGUCGAACGGCAGCACAGCAGUAGCAAUACUGUGGGUGGCGAGUGGCGGACGGGUGAGGAAUACAUCGGAAUCUACUCUGUCGUGGGGGAUAACGUAGGGAAACUUACGCUAAUACCGCAUACGACCUACGGGUGAAAGUGGGGGACCGCAAGGCCUCACGCGAUUGAAUGAGCCGAUGUCGGAUUAGCUAGUUGGCGGGGUAAAGGCCCACCAAGGCGACGAUCCGUAGCUGGUCUGAGAGGAUGAUCAGCCACACUGGAACUGAGACACGGUCCAGACUCCUACGGGAGGCAGCAGUGGGGAAUAUUGGACAAUGGGGGCAACCCUGAUCCAGCAAUGCCGCGUGAGUGAUGAAGGCCUUAGGGUUGUAAAGCUCUUUUGGCGGGGACGAUGAUGACGGUACCCGCAGAAUAAGCCCCGGCUAACUUCGUGCCAGCAGCCGCGGU